UACGAAGGGAGCUAGCGUUACUCGGAAUGACUGGGCGUAAAGGGCGCGUAGGCGGUUUGCUUAGUUAGGCGUGAAAUUCCUGGGCUCAACCUGGGGGCUGCGCUUAAUACAGGCAGACUAGAGUGUGAAAGAGGGUCGUGGAAUUUCCAGUGUAGAGGUGAAAUUCGUAGAUAUUGGAAAGAACACCGGUGGCGAAGGCGGCGACCUGGUUCAUUACUGACGCUGAGGCGCGAAAGCGUGGGGAGCAAACAGG
rnacentral:rRNA from 1 species